CCGACUCUAGAGAUCAUGAUCCAAAGCCUUUCUCUCAUUUGGAUGUGUCAAAGUUCCCUAAGAGCUUUAAAGGGGACUCCAGGCAAUGCUGACACCCAAAUGUGUCACUAGAUUAUGACAUCGUGCAGUGUGGAAAGGCCAGCCCUUAAGUACCCAAGUUUAAAGGGAACCCAAGGUUGCAUGGCAAGGCUCAUGAUAGGGGCACAAAUCUUAAAACUAAGAGAGAGUGCAAGUGCACAACUCUGCGAGGGGAAAUGGGAAGGGAAAUAGUUACAAGUAGGUGCACAUAGUGGUUCAGGGGAAUGGGAAAUUGGAAAGACUAGGCAAGUUGUGGGCAUACCCAGCAAUGAAGAGUGAUAGGAUACCCAAAAGCCUACUAGAACACACUAUUAGAGGCUAGGAUCCCAAAAGAUCAAGUUUAG
rnacentral:lncRNA from 1 species